UGAAUUUGAUUCCAUAGGCAUUGCAGACCUUUUAUUAGAAGAGAAAUUUGGUUACUGUGUUAGGAAGAUAAUUACUGCUGCUGUUAUGUUUAGGAUGAAUUGUAGCAGGUAUAGCAGAGAUCAUGACAGGAUUGGGAGGACAGGUUUUAAUUGCUGAAGUGUGACACUGAAGGCUUGGGCAAGGGAAUAGGAACGCAGCAAGAGCUCUAACUUUCAUUGAGUGGCAUAGUUUUCAUAUGUUUUUACCUAUCAUUUAGCACUUGAAACAUAACAUUCUCCAUUCCUGUGUAUUAUAAGCCAAGGAAAUAUAGUCGAAAGUUUGAUACACCUUGUUGGAUUGAUAACCAUCCAAAAUAUAGCUUUAUUGAACAUGGACUCAAUACACUGCUGUUAAAAGAACCAAAAAUAAAAACACAUUUGUGAUUCAGGUGUAUUUGUUUAUUUUGGUAGAAAAAAAAUUAUCUUCCCACUGAAACAAAAGUACCAUUAUACAGAGCAAAAUCAACAUCACGCUACUUUUCCAUGUUUCAUAUGACAGUAGGGAGGGCACAUUCAGAGAAUGUUGAUCAGAUUUUGUCUCCUUCCUUUAAAAAGGCAUGUUGCAGAUUGUAAUACUUCUCCAUGCUCUAAAGCAUCAUUUGAUUGGGGAAGAAGAGUUCAGUGUCAAGCAUGAGGGGCUGGGUCUAGAGGUUUCUAAAGUGUCACUUACAAAAUCAUUUCACAACAUAUUUGUUAGCACAUCUUUCUUCCAGUUCUGGCUUUGUUUCCUUCUAUUUUCAAUGUAAAUGGUACAAAGUGAGCUAUCUUCCUGCUGCUCAAAAUAACUAUGUAUUUGAGUAAAAUUUAUAAUGGUGGAUUCUACUUUUAGCCAGGAAAUGCAAACAAAGCUUGGAGACUGCUUGUUCUUUGACCCCAAAUUCAUUCCAUGUUGCUAUAGCAUCACUCCUGAGAAAAUGGGUCUGCCUGUUUUCCUCCCCAUAGACACACUCAAUGGGCUUUUGUCAGCUCCUGAAUUAUAGCAUUAAAAUUUAAACACUAGGGAUUUAAUGGAGGAUUAUUAUGACACUCCAGUGCAUUCUUUCUGUUGCCACUAGCAACAACCUCAAGGAAAAGUAAAAUAAGUAAGAGGUGCUGUUUUCCAGAAAGAUGAAGGGUCAACCUUACACUCUUGGGAUUUCAUAAACUGAUUUGUAGCCAUUGUUAUUAACAUGAGUAUUGUACUGGUAUAUAAUAUCAAUCCAGUGAUUUGUUUUUUCCUUUAGUUUAGCAAAUCUACACAGGAAAAGAUAUUUUCAUACACCCUCCCCAAAUGAACUUCCAUCUGCUGCUCCCAGAUGCACUCUCCAACAUCUGGAAGAUAUUACCCCAUGACAGUGGCACAGCAUUCUCCAUCUUAAACCCUUCAAAGUGAGACUGCAGUGGAAGAAUCUGCACCCACAUCUUCAGAGAGGUUUCUUCUCAGAUGAGCCAAUUACCAUGGCCAAAGACAGAGGGAAGUCUUGUCUCCAUCUACUGCUUCACAGUUUACAAAUGCUUUUCUAUGGUUUAUCAUAGAAAAAGGUGUCUGACAUAUCCUGCAGCCUAUUAAUAUCACAGUAAGAUUGGCUGGCCUAUUAACUCAUGCCAUGAGAAGUCCAGAGUCCUCCUGUUAUGGUUGAUACAUUGUGUCAACAUGAGGAGUUAAUUAAGUAACUCAAGCAGUUCUACAUCCGGGGAGUGAAAAGGACAGGACCUUCCUGCUCUAGGAUGUUGUUCAUUGUGUCAACUUGAGAAGUUUAGAGGGUUACUUAUGUGACUCAACAGGGCCCCAAGGUCCUUACUGAGCCUGUGCAAAGUAGGGCAUGGAGAUGGUGUGGGUGUAAAGGACCACCCCCUCAGGGCAGAUAGGCUGCAUACAAUAAAAGGGAAAUGAGGAAGGACUGAUUGCUGGUUCUUCGGAGGCCUCCAGUCUGCGCCUUCAGCUUGAUGGUCGUCUCCCGGCUUCUGGUACAGACUGUUCGGCUUCUGCCUGGGACUCGUCAGCCUUCUGGUGUAGACUCUGGCCUUUGUUGUAGAUUCUUCAGCAACUCGU